GAUGAAGAACGGAGCGAAAUGCGAUACUUGGUGUGAAUUGCAGAAUCCCGUGAACCAUCGAGUCUUUGAACGCAAGUUGCGCCCGAAGCCACUAGGCCGAGGGCACGCCUGCCUGGGCGUCACACGCCGUUGCCCCCCCAUCUACUCCUUCGGGAUUGCGGGGGGGCGGAUGAUGGCCUCCCGUGCGCCUAGCCGCGCGGUUGGCAUAAAUACCAAGUCCUCGGCGACGCACGCCACGACAAUCGGUGGUUGCGAAACCUCGGUUGCCCGUCGUGUGCGUUCGUCGCGCAUCGAGGGCUCGAAAAAAUGCUCGGCUCCGGCUGGGCUUUCAACGCGACCCCAGGUCAGGCGGGGUUACCCGCUGAAUUUAAGCAUAUCAAUAAGCGGAGGA
rnacentral:misc_RNA from 1 species